AAUAGCAUUCUGAUGGUAUACUGGUGCAGAUAGGCAUGCGUUAGUUUUCCGACGUGCACCGUCACACGCUUGACAUCGAAUCGUAAUAAUAAUAUCGCAGUUUUACGCCAUUUGCAUAGACCUCGCCGCGGUGUAUACCUAAUACCUACCGUUUAUCGUAAUUUUUUUACCUUCUUCCGUAUUUGUGCGCACAUUCGUCCGGAAAUGGUCAACAAGAGUGUUCUCGUUAUAAUUUCACUGCUCACAGUGCUAUUUGUUUCCUUGACAUCAGCGCAUACGAUACAUGAAAAACAUGUCAUCCACGUUCCUCUUUUGGUACAUUACGUCCAUCAUCAUCAUCGAAAAAUUAUAAAACCAAUCAGACACAAAAAAGUGAAAACCAGAAAAUUUGUUCAUCGAUACCAUAGUUACUGGUAUUGAUAACUAAACGAAACACAAUGUACAAUACACACCGAAUGGUAUUAUUAAACAAAACAAAUUACCAAAAUAUAUUUGACUAAAUUCGUAUAUGAUUACAUUUUGUCGAUGAUUGUUACUGAUAAGUUAAGUAGGUAUAGAUAUGCACGUAAUACGUUUAGUAUAUAAUAUAAUGCACAAAACAAUAUAGUAAUAUCAUUUUUAUUGUAUACAUGCAUUUAUAAACUAAGCACACAUAAUUUAUAUAAUAUUGUAAAAUCAUUGAAUGAUAUGUCAAAUCUAAUAAUGUGAUUAACUUAAUACAUAUAAUAUUUGUUGUUAUAGUAUAUACGUAUGCCGUAUAAGGUACCUAUAUUUAAAAUUAUCCAUUUUUUAUUUUAUUUUUUAAUGAGUUCAAGUUACCAAAUGUACAACCAAAAAUUUAAAAGGUGUUUAGUAAUAGGUAAAUUCAUUUUUGUUUAAGUUUAUGAGUACAAGAAUGUGAACUGAUUGAUCAAUUUCAAAUAUAAUAAAUUACAAUGUUGUAUAUUUGAUACAUUAUUAGUACCUAAUGUAUAGUUUCUAUUUAAUAAUAAUUAUUUGGCCAAAAUUGUUGUAUCUUAUCAAUUCCCAUUCCACAGUCCACACACAAUUUUGACUAAGCAGAUGAUAAAAUUUUGUUAUUUGUUACGCUAAAUCAGAUAUCCAACUAUACUAAUUAUAGAAUAACCAACAACGAUAAUACAUUUUAUAAACUAAGACUUAAAAACGUAUCUAAGCAACUAAAGUUAUGUUAUUAUUGAUUAAAAUUACAAAACUUUAAGUUGUGUAAUAUUAAUAAUAACAACAUUGCACGCAGCACGCAUCAGUAAAUUACAUAUCUAUGUAUGUAACGAUGAUCACAAAACAGAAGUUUCUGAAAAGUAAAAUAACCCCUGACUAGUAAUAAGUAAUAACCUUCGAAAUGUUGACCGUUCAAGUCAUCUAUUAUAAUAUUAAUAUGAAAUAUGAAUAAUUUAAAUGUUCGUAAAAACUAUGAUUAUUCUGUA